rnacentral:rRNA from 1 species
UUAAAGGCGUAAAAUGAAUACCUAGGCAUCUAGAGUCGAAGAAGGGCGUGAAACCAACGAUAAGCUUCGAGGAACUGGAAAAAAGUAAUGAUCCGAAGAUUCCCGAAUAGGGCAACCUUUUAAACUUUUUAUUUAAUUCAUAGAAUAAAAAAGAGAUAACCUAGUGAACUGAAACAUCUUAUUAACUAGAGGAAAAGAAAGCAAUCGCGAUUUCCCAAGUAGUGGCGAACGAACAGGAAAAAGCCUAAACUGAUAAUAUUAGUUAUCAGGGUUGAAGGGAUACAUCAAAAAAUAUAUAGAAAAAUCAAACGUAAUCUUAAUAAAUUAAGUAAAUGAAACAGAUUGAAUACUGUACCAUAGAUGGUGAAAGUCCUGUAAUUGCUUUUAAUUUUGAUAAUAAAAUAUCCCCAAGUAAUACGGGACACGUGAAAUUCCGUAUGAAUUAGCGAGGACCACCUCGUAAGGCUAAAUACUCCUAGAUGACCGAUAGUGAACAAGUACCGUGAGGGAAUGGUGAAAAGAAUCCCGGAAGGGAAGUGAAAAAGAACAUGAAAUUUUAUGCUAACAAUCAGUGGGAGAUUAAAAAUUUUAAUUGACCGCGUGCCUGUUGAAGAAUGAGCCGGCGACUUAAAAUAAAUGGCAGGCUAAGAGAUUUAAUAACUCGAAACCUAAGCGAAAGCAAGUCUUAAUAGGGCGUCAAUUUAACAAAACUUUAAAUAAAUUAUAAAGUCAUUUAUUUUAGACCCGAACCUGAGUGAUCUAACCAUGGUCAGGAUGAAACUUGGGUGACACCAAGUGGAAGUCCGAACCGACCGAUGUUGAAAAAUCGGCGGAUGAACUGUGGUUAGUGGUGAAAUACCAGUCGAACUCAGAGCUAGCUGGUUCUCCCCGAAAUGCGUUGAGGCGCAGCAAUAUAUCUCGUCUAUCUAGGGGUAAAGCACUGUUUCGGUGCGGGCUAUGAAAAUGGUACCAAAUCGUGGCAAACUCUGAAUACUAGAAAUGACGAUAUAUUAGUGAGACUAUGGGGGAUAAGCUCCAUAGUCGAGAGGGAAACAGCCCAGACCACCAGUUAAGGCCCCAAAAUGAUAAUGAAGUGGUAAAGGAGGUGAAAAUGCAAAUACAACCAGGAGGUUGGCUUAGAAGCAGCCAUCCUUUAAAGAGUGCGUAAUAGCCCACUGGUCAUAGCGUCUUUGCGCCGAAAAUGUCCGGGACUCAAUUAUCUGCCGAAACUGUGGGAUAUUUUAAAAAUAUCGGUAGGGGAGCGUUCUGCUUUGGGAGAAGUUUUAAUGAAAAUGAAAAUGGACUAAGCAGAAGUGAGAAUGUCGGCUUGAGUAACGUAAAUAUUGGUGAGAAUCCAAUACCCCGAAAACCCAAGGGUUCCUUUACUAGGUUCGUCCAUGAAGGGUGAGUCAGGACCUAAGGCGAGGCCGAAAGGCGUAGUCGAUGGAAAACAGGUUAAUAUUCCUGUACUAUUUUAUUUUUUAUAAUAUAUAUAUGCAAUACCAGGGGACAGAGUAAUUAGAAAUUAGCUGUUAUUGGAUUUCAGUAAAGAUUUUUAUAAAAUUAUAAAAAAAGAAAAAAAACUUUUUUUAAUAAAAAAAUCUUAAAUUUAAGUAGAUUUUAUUACCUUUUCAAAUGUAAUAGAAUUGAACAAAUUAUAAUUUUUACAUUAUUCUCAAGAAAAGCCUGUACUAUUGUUUACAUUUUAUAUGAAUUUUGAUUAUGAAUUGUAAGAAAAAUAAAAUACCUGUACCGUAAACCGACACAGGUGGGUAAGUAGAGUAUACUAAGGGGCGCGAGAUAACUCUCUCUAAGGAACUCGGCAAAAUAACCCUGUAACUUCGGAAUAAAGGGUACCAAAAAUUGAAUUUUUUUGGUCGCAGUAGCAAGGCCCAGGCGACUGUUUAUCAAAAACACAGGUCUCCGCAAAGUCGUAAGACAAUAUAUGGGGGCUGACGCCUGCCCAGUGCCGGAAGGUUAAAGAAGUAGGUUAUUUGUUAAAAAGAAGCUUGCGACUGAAGCCCCGGUGAACGGCGGCCGUAACUAUAACGGUCCUAAGGUAGCGAAAUUCCUUGUCGGAUAAGUCCCGACCCGCACGAAAGGCGUAACGAUCUGGGCGCUGUCUCGGAGAGAGACUCGGUGAAAUAGACAUGUCCGUGAAGAUGCGGACUACCUGCACCUGGACAGAAAGACCCUAUGAAGCUUUACUGCAACCUGGAAUUGAAUUUGGGUUUUUUUUGUGCAGUAUAGGUGGGAGAUUAUAAUUUUAUUUAUAAUCGUUAGUGAGAUACCACCCUUAAAAAGCUAGAAUUCUAAGAGCGUUCCUUGAAACAGGACGCUUAACAGUUCUUGGUGGGCAGUUUGACUGGGGCGGUCAUCUCUUAAAAGGUAACAGAGAUGUGCAAAGGUUCCUUCAGGCUGGAUGGAAAUCAGUUGUAGAGUGUAAAGGCAUAAGGGAGCUUGACUGUAAGACUUACAAGUCAAACAGAGGCGAAAGCCGGCCUUAGUGAUCCGACGGUACCGUGUGGAAGGGCCGUCGCUAAACGGAUAAAAGUUACUCUAGGGAUAACAGGCUGAUCUUCCCCAAGAGUUCACAUCGACGGGAAGGUUUGGCACCUCGAUGUCGGCUCAUCGCAACCUGGGGCGGUAGUACGUCCCAAGGGUUGGGCUGUUCGCCCAUGAAAGCGGUACGUGAGCUGGGUUCAGAACGUCGUGAGACAGUUCGGUCCAUAUCCGGUGUAGGCGUUAGAGCAUUGAGAGAAUUCUUUCAUAGUACGAGAGGACCUGAAAGGACAUACCUCUAGUGUACCAGUUCUUGUGCCAACAGGAGACGCUGGGUAGCUAUGUAUGGAGAAGAUAACUGCUGAAAGCAUCUAAGUGGGAAGCUCACCUCAAGAUGAGUGCUCUCUUUUCAUUUAAAUAAAAUGAAAUAUCGGUUACGGUAAGAUUAACCGUUUGAUAGGCAUAAAGUGUAAGCUUAGUAAUAGGUGCAGCUGAUAUGUACUAAUAAACCGAUUGAUUUUGAC